AUCGCUUCUUGGCCUUUUGGCUAAAAUCAAGUGUAGUAUCUGUUCUUAUCAGUUCAGUAUCUGAUACAUCUUCUAUCUGAGGACACUAUAUUAAAUGGAUUUUUGGAAGCAGGAAAUGGAAUAGGAGCUUUCUCUGUACACUCCACGCAUCGACCUGGUAUUGCAAUACCUCUAGGAUCGAUGCACUCCCU